rnacentral:misc_RNA from 1 species
GAAAUGCGAUAAGUAAUGUGAAUUGCAGAAUUCAGUGAAUCAUCGAAUCUUUGAACGCACCUUGCGCUCCUUGGUAUUCCUUGGAGCAUGCCUGUUUGAGUAUCAUGAAAUCUUCAAAGUAAAUCUUUUGUUAACUCAAUUGGUUUCUACUUUGGUAUUGGAGGUCUUUGCAGCUUCACACCUGCUCCUCUUUGUUCAUUAGCUGGAUCUCAGUGUUAUGCUUGGUUCCACUCGGCGUGAUAAGUUAUCUAUCGCUGAGGACACUGUAAAAGGUGGCCAAGGUAAAUGCAGAUGAACCGCUUCUAAUAGUCCAUUGACUUGGACAAUACUUUUAUGAUCUGAUCUCAAAUCAGGUAGGAAUACCCGCUGAACUUGAGC